UACGAAGGGGGCUAGCGUUGCUCGGAAUCACUGGGCGUAAAGCGCACGUAGGCGGACUCUUAAGUCGGGGGUGAAAUCCUGGAGCUCAACUCCAGAACUGCCUUCGAUACUGAGAGUCUUCGAGUUCGGGAGAGGUGAGUGGAACUGCGAGUGUAGAGGUGAAAUUCGUAGAUAUUCGCAAGAACACCAGUGGCGAAGGCGGCUCACUGGCCCGACACUGACGCUGAGGUGCGAAAGCGUGGGGAGCAAACAGG
rnacentral:rRNA from 1 species